rnacentral:lncRNA from 1 species
UAUAUUUUACCAACCCAUUUGAAUGGUGGGACAAAAGGAAAAGUAAGAAAAAUCCAUGGCACCCAGAUUUUAAGCGCAAAGAUACUGGUGAAGCUCUCUGGUUGAGUCCCAAUGAUCCUCCUUGGAUCAAAAAGCAACUUGAACUGCUUGAUUCGAAAUUGGCCGAAGGCCUAGGCGAUCAUGUAAAUUCUCGUCAUCGUGUAUCUGAAUGGGUGUAUGAUGAGUAGGUUAAAUCUGCAAGACUUGAAGAAGAGCGGGAGCAGGUAGUACUAGUGGAGGUUCACUACAGCACAGCUACAAACCUAUAGCAUCAGCCAAACGUUAAGAAGUAAUAGUUUUAACCUUAGCCAUCAAAUGAAGGACAGUGAAGGGGAUUAAGGUAAUUGUACAGCUAGAGCAAUGUGUAUGACUAGUUAUGUGGUAAUUCUGAUAAUGUGCAGCACUUAUGAUUACUAGUUUCCUUUGGUUGAAAUGUAUUCUUGUGGUAAGUGUUGUAUUAAGUUUAUUUCAAUAGACCAAAACUUCUGUUAAGACAAGUACCAGGUACAGAUGAAAUCUUAAUGCACUUUUGCAUCAUUCCUUCAAUAAAUAAAUAAAUCUUGAACUAUGCUAAACGAUAUUGCAGAAAUGAAAAGACACAUGCAUAUUGAGAUCACUGGCAGUUUUGAAAACAUGAUAGUUGCACCAAACCCAUAACAGUUUGUGAGGAACACCCAUAGAAGUAUGUCCAAAUAAAUGCACGGAUUAAUGCUUAACUGGGUGGUGAUUGACAUGUAGCAACUUAAAGCAAACAAAUUUCAAGAAAAAUCUGUACGGAAAACUCAAAAGCAGCAUAAAGUACCCUAAGAAUCACAAUAUGAUGUAACGUCAUUCUUUAUUUGCUAGUCAAGCAAGAAGAUUGCAACACAGUUGGGAGCCUCAGUGCAUGAGAGCUCUGUUUUCAUGCUAAGCCCAGUUGAGAUGAAGCAGAAACUUAAGUGUCGCCAUCUUCUAAAGACCUCAAAUUCAAAAAUUCAAGCCACUCCUGCCCCCCAUUACAGUAAUGUGCCCAUCAAUGUUCAGAUAAAGAUAACAAAGACCAAAUGCUGGAGGAUUCGAGGAUGAAAAGAACUUGCAUACCUUCUGGCGCAGUAGGUCAUCUGCAUCGUAGACAACGUGUUCCAGCCGACUUAUCCAGUUCUUCACGGCAGGGCUGCUCUCCUGCUUCUCCUCCGGACGGCGUGUAGGUGGUGAGAGUCUCUUGAAGCUUCUCCAGCUCCUUUUUCAGCCCGAAAAGCCCUUGCCCAGCAAGCGACA